rnacentral:rRNA from 1 species
GACGAACGCUGGCGGCGUGCCUAAUACAUGCAAGUCGAACGCAGUGGGGAUGGGUGAGUAACACGUGGGUAACCUUCCAUCAGAAGGGAUAACACUUGGAAACAGGUGCUAAACCGAUACUGAUGGAUGAACCCGCGGUGCAUUAGCUAGUUGGUGAGGUAACGGCUCAGCAAGGCCACGAUGCAUAGCCGACCGGAGAGGGUGAUCGGCCACACGGGGACUGAGACACGGCCCAGACUCCUACGGGAGGCAGCAGUAGGGAAUCUUCGGCAAUGGCCGAAAGCCUGACCGAGCAACGCCGCGUGAGUGAAGAAGGUUUUCGGAUUGUAAAAUCCUGUUGUCGGAGAGGCGGUACCUAACCAGAAAGCCACGGCUAACUACGUGCCAGCAGCCGCGGUAAUUC